rnacentral:rRNA from 1 species
GACGAACGCUGGCGGCGUGCUUAACACAUGCAAGUCGAACGGAGUGGCGAACGGGUCAGUAAAACGUGGGUGAUCUGCCUUGCACUUCAGGAUAAGCUUGGGAAACUGGGUCUAAUACCGGAUAGUGCAAGAGGAGCUCGCGGCCUAUCAGCUUGUGUGUGGGGUAAUGGCCUACAAAGGCGUCGACGGGUAGCCGGCCUGAGAGGGUGUACGGCCAAAUUGGGACUUAGAGACGGCCCAUACUCCUACGGGAGGCAGCAGUGGGGAAUAGUGCACAAUGGGCGGAAGCCUGAUGCAGCGACGCCGCGUGGGGGAUGAAGGCCUUCGGGUUGUAAACUCCUUUCGACAGUGACGCGGUACCUGUAUAAGAAGCACCGGCUAACUACGUGCCAGCCGCCGCGGUAAUUC